CAAUAGCGUAUAUUUAAGUUGUUGCAGUUAAAAAGCUCGUAGUUGGAUUUCGGAUGGGAUCUGCCGGUCCGUCUUUGAGAUGUGUACUGGUAGGUCCUAUCUUGUUGUCGGGGACCAGCUCCUGGGCUUCACUGUCCGGGACUGGGAGCCGACGAAGUUACUUUGAGUAAAUUAGAGUGUUCAAAGCAAGCCUACGCUCUGAAUAUAUUAGCAUGGAAUAACACGAUAGGACUCUGGCUUAUCUUGUUGGUCUGUGAGACCAGAGUAAUGAUUAAGAGGGACAGUCGGGGACAUUCGUAUUUCAUUGUCAGAGGUGAAAUUCUUGGAUUUACGCAAGACAAACAGCUGCGAAAGCGUCUGCCAAGGAUGUUUUCAUUAA
rnacentral:rRNA from 1 species